GCUCGAGUAGCUCAGCUGGUAGAGCACACCCUUGGUAAGGGUGAGGUCGCCGGUUCAAUCCCGGCCUCGAGCU
rnacentral:tRNA from 1 species